rnacentral:tRNA from 1 species
GGAAAUGUGGCUUAGUGGUUGAGUGCUUGCCUAGCAUGCAUGAAGCCCUGGGUUCGAUUCCUCAGUACCA